rnacentral:tRNA from 1 species
GGGCGGCUGGUCGACGGCGGCCGGAGCAUUCUCGAUGCAUCCGACAAGCUCGGGCAGGUGCUGUUCGAAUCGGCCGCCGGUGUC